rnacentral:rRNA from 1 species
UACGUAGGAGGCAAGCGUUGUCCGGAAUUACUGGGUGUAAAGCGCGUGUAGGUGGGAGGCCAAGUCUGUGGUGAAAGCGCCCGGCUCAACUGGGCAGAGUCCAUGGAAACUGGUCACCUGGAGGACGGUAGAGGCGAGUGGAAUUCCCGGUGUAGUGGUGAAAUGCGUAGAGAUCGGGAGGAACACCAGUGGCGAAGGCGACUACCUGGCCUGUUCUUGACGCUGAGGCGCGAAAGCUAGGGGAGCAAACGGGG